rnacentral:rRNA from 1 species
AUUGAACGCUGGCGGCAGGCCUAACACAUGCAAGUCGAGCGGAUGAAGGGAGCUUGCUCCUGGAUUCAGCGGCGGACGGGUGAGUAAUGCCUAGGAAUCUGCCUGGUAGUGGGGGAUAACGUCCGGAAACGGGCGCUAAUACCGCAUACGUCCUGAGGGAGAAAGUGGGGGAUCUUCGGACCUCACGCUAUCAGAUGAGCCUAGGUCGGAUUAGCUAGUUGGUGGGGUAAAGGCCUACCAAGGCGACGAUCCGUAACUGGUCUGAGAGGAUGACCAGUCACACUGGAACUGAGACACGGUCCAGACUCCUACGGGAGGCAGCAGUGGGGAAUAUUGGACAAUGGGCGAAAGCCUGAUCCAGCCAUGCCGCGUGUGUGAAGAAGGUCUUCGGAUUGUAUAGCACUUUAAGUUGGGAGGAAGGGCAGUAAGUUAAUACCUUGCUGUUUUGACGUUACCAACAGAAUAAGCACCGGCUAACUUCGUG